UUCAGUAAAGUGGUGAGACCGAAAGCCAUGUUGCAAGGAGCUAAGAAGUGGGUGGCUGCCGAGAAAACGGAGACAUCAUAUGGGGAUGACUCUGCCAUUUAGCAGUAAAAGGGAAGAGAAGUAUGUAAUGAUUAUUUGAAGAAAUGGCUGAGCUCAGUGAAGGUUUUUCUUCAUGAACGAGAGAGACUUCAGCAUAUCUGCAAGCAGUGGAGAACGAGUCAAUAAGUAAAGAAAAAAUUGAAGGUGAGAGAAAGAGACAAGGAAUGAUUGGCAAGCUUACACAGCUCUCCCAAAAGAGUUGUCAGCUCCCUGGAUGCUCACAAGCCUUUGAAUGAGUUAGUUCAACCAUUAUUUCCUCCAUUUUACAAAUGGAACAACUGAGGCUCAGAAAGCUAGAUGACACAGUGGACACAGUGGAUAG